rnacentral:rRNA from 1 species
CAUUAGCCGCGGGAAUACGAAGGGUGCAAGCGUUAAUCGGAAUUACUGGGCGUAAAGCGCACGUAGGCGGAUCAGAAAGUCAGAGGUGAAAUCCCAGGGCUCAACCUUGGAACUGCCUUUGAAACUCCUGAUCUUGAGGUCGAGAGAGGUGAGUGGAAUUCCGAGUGUAGAGGUGAAAUUCGUAGAUAUUCGGAGGAACACCAGUGGCGAAGGCGGCUCACUGGCUCGAUACUGACGCUGAGGUGCGAAAGCGUGGGGAGCAAACAGGAUUAGAUACCCCCGUAGUCCCUGUCUCUUAUAC